rnacentral:misc_RNA from 1 species
GAUGAAGAACGUAGCGAAAUGCGAUAAGUAAUGUGAAUUGCAGAAUUCAGUGAAUCAUCGAAUCUUUGAACGCACAUUGCGCCCCUUGGUAUUCCGAGGGGCAUGCCCGUUCGAGCGUCAUUAUACCCCUCAAGCCUAGCUUGGUGUUGGGGCCUGCUGUUACCGGCAGCCCUUAAAAUCAGUGGCGGUGCCAUCUGGCUCUAAGCGUAGUAAUACUUCUCGCUACAGGGUCCCGGUGGAUGCUUGCCAUCAACCCCUAAUUUUCUAUGGUUGACCUCGGAUCGGGUAGGGAUACCCGCUGAACUUAAGCAUAUCCAAUAAGCGGAGGA